GGUCCAGACUCCUACGGGAGGCAGCAGUGGGGGAUAUUGCACAAUGGGGGAAACCCUGAUGCAGCGACGCCGCGUGGGUGAAGAAGCGCCUCGGCGCGUAAAGCUCUAUCAGCAGGGAAGAAAAUGACGGUACCUGACUAAGAAGCCCCGGCUAACUACGUGCCAGCAGCCGCGGUAAUACGUAGGGGGCAAGCGUUAUCCGGAAUUACUGGGUGUAAGGGGAGCGCAGACGGCAGUGCAAGUCAGAAGUGAAAGCCCGGGGCUCAACUCCGGGACUGCUUUUGAAACUGUACAGCUUGAUUGCAGGAGAGGCAAGUGGAAUUCCUAGUGUAGCGGUGAAAUGCGUAGAUAUCAGGAGGAACACCGGCGGCGAAGGCGGCCUGCUGGACCGUAACUGACGUUGAGGCUCGAAAGCGUGGGGAGCAAACAGGAUUAGAUACCCUCGUAC
rnacentral:rRNA from 1 species